GUGAAAUUGUUGAAAGGGAAGCGCUUGCAACCAGACCUGCCUGCAGUUGCUCAUCCGGGCUUUUGCCCGGUGCACUCUUCUGCUGUCAGGCCAGCAUCAGUUCGGGCGGUCGGAUAAAGGCUUCGGGAAUGUAGCUCCUCUCGAGGAGUGUUAUAGCCCGUUGCGAAAUGCGGCCAGCUUGGACUGAGGUCCGCGCUUCGGCUAGGAUGCUGGCGUAAUGGUUGUAAGCGGCCCGUCUUGAAACACGGACCAAGGAGUCUAACAUCUGUGCGAGUGUUUGGGUGUCAAACCCGUACGCGUAAUGAAAGUGAACGGAGGCGGGAACCCCUCGGGGUGCACCGUCGACCGAUCCUGAUGUCUUCGGAUGGAUUUGAGUAAGAGCAUAGCUGUUGGGACCCGAAAGAUGGUGAACUAUGCCUGAAUAGGGUGAAGCCAGAGGAAACUCUGGUGGAGGCUCGCAGCGGUUCUGACGUGCAAAUCGAUCGUCAAAUUUGGGCAUAGGGGCGAAAGACUAAUCGAACUAUCUAGUAGCUGGUUCCUGCCGAAGUUUCCCUCAGGAUAGCAGUAACGUUUUCAGUUUUAUGAGGUAAAGCGAAUGAUUAGAGGCCUGGGGGUUGAAACAACCUUCACCUAUUCUCAAACUU
rnacentral:rRNA from 1 species